AAAUACAAACAUAUGGAUGAUGCGCUCCACCUAUUCAACAAAAUGGAAAACAAAGGAAUUAGACCUAAUGUUGUUACCUACAGCUCCCUCAUUAGUUGCCUUUGUAAUUACGGAAGAUGGAGUGAUGCCUCUCGACUACUGAGUGAUAUGAUUGAGAGGAAAAUCAACCCCGAUGUAGUCACCUUCAGCGCAUUGAUCGAUGCGUUUGUGAAGGAGGGGAAGCUUUUAGAGGCUGAGAAAUUGUACAAGGAGAUGAUCAAAAGGUCUAUAGAUCCUGAUAUUUUCACCUACAAUUCUUUGAUCAAUGGGUUUUGUAUGCGUCAUCGCCUAGACGAGGCCAAGCAGAUGUUUGAGUUUAUGGUUACCAAGGGCUGUUUCCCAAAUGUAGUGACUUAUAAUACGCUCAUAAAGGGAUUUUGUAAGGCUAAGAAGGUAGAAGAUGGUAUGGAACUCUUCCGCGAGAUGUCUCAAAGAGGAUUGGUUGGCGACACAGUCACUUACAACACUCUUAUCCAAGAGUUAUUUCAAGCUGGAGAUUGUGAUAUGGCUCAAGAAACUUUUAGUCAUAUGAAUUCUUUUGGUGUCUCUCCUGAUCUUUGGACUUAUAAUAUUUUGUUAGAUGGGCUUUGUAAUAACGGGAGGCUAGAGAAAGCAUUGGUGGUAUUCGAGUGUUUGCAGAAGAGUGAAAUGGAACUUGACAUAUUCACAUAUAAUAUUAUGAUUGAAGGGAUGUGUAAGGAUGGGAAGGUGGAAGAUGGUUGGGGUCUAUUUUGUAGCCUCACCCUUAAAGGAGUGAAGCCUGAUGUUAUAACCUACAACACAAUGAUCUCAGGCUUGUGUAGGAAAGGUUUAAACCAGGAAGCUUAUGCCUUGCUCAAAAAAAUGAAACAAGAUGGGCCUCCUCCAGAUAGCGGUACAUAUAAUACACUGAUCAGGGCAUGCCUUAGAGAUGGUGACAAAGCGGCAUCGGCAGAACUCAUCAAAGAAAUGAGGAGUUGCGGGUUUGCUGGAGAUGCUUCAGCGAUUGGCUUGGUCGCUAAUAUGUUGCAUGAUGGGAGAUUGGACAAAAGUUUUUUGGAAAUGCUUUCUUAAACAGUUUAUCCUUGAGAGAUUUGUUGAGGAACCAUGUGCCCUCGCGAGUUGAAUUAACUUAUUAUGUUGCUUUUCUGUUGAUUACUUCUGAACGCAUUUUCUCAUGUGUACAUAUUGGUUAGUCGUGUAUAAGCUUCAUGAAUAUGACUGAUACUGAUCUUUGUUAUGUAAGAGAGGUGAUAUUGAUUUGGCUUUGAGUUUGUUGAAGAAGAUGGAGAAAGGGAGAAUAGAGCCAAAUGUUGUAAUCUACAACACAGUUAUCGAUGGUCUCUGCAAAUACAAACAUGUGAAUGAUGCAUGCAACCUAUUCAAUGAAAUGGAGAACAAAGGAAUUAGACCAAAUGUUGUUACUUACAGCUCCCUCAUUAAUUGCCUUUGUAAUUACGGAAGAUGGAGUGAUGCCUCUCGACUGCUGAGCGAUAUGAUCGAGAGGAGAAUCAACCCCGACGUAGUUACUUUCAGCGCAUUGAUCGAUGCGUUUGUGAAGGAGGGGAAACUUAUAGAGGCUGAGAAAUUGUACAAGGAGAUGAUCAAAAGGUCUAUAGAUCCUGAUAUUUUCACUUACAAUUCAUUGAUCAACGGGUUUUGUAUGCACGAUCGUCUAGAUGAGGCCAAACAGAUGUUUGAGUUCAUGGCUAGCAAGGAUUGUUACCCAAAUGUAGUGACAUAUACUACUCUCAUAAAGGGAUUUUGCAAGUCUACGAAGAUUGAAGAUGGUAUGGAACUCUUCCGGGAGAUGUCUCAAAAAGGAUUGGUUGGCGAUACAGUCACUUACAACACUCUUAUCCAGGGGUUAUUUCAAGCUGGAGAUUGUGAUAUGGCCCAAAAACUAUUCACUAAUAUGUUGCAUGAUGGGAGAUUGGACAAAAGCUUUUUGGAAAUGCUUUCUUAAGACAUCCUUGAGGUCGAUCAGCUUUUCAUGUUGCUUUUCUAUUGGUUACUUCUAAAUACAGUCAUUAUGUUCUCAUGUUACAUGUGGAUAUAGCAGUGGCUGUUGUGUCUAAGCUUCAUGAAACAUAUCUUGUUUUGUUGCAAUUCAUUUUUUUCACCUUUCUCAAUUUCGGUCAUUGUAUAUAGAAGAAUAUAUCAUGUAAAUGAGAUUAUUAGUGUAAAACAAACCGAGAUCCCUAAGCGAAAACAGACUUAUUGCUAGGAAGGAAUCGAGGUUAAAUUUUAAAAUCGGAGAUGAAGAAAUUUUCUGAUUUCUUUUCUAAUAAUACACUUUUAAGCUUAACCGGAUCUAACAUUUUGUUAAACCAACCUAAACCAUACUUUAUUCCGGUUCCAAUUUUAAUUUAAUUUGGGUUGGAUAACAGUUUUGGUUUACUAAAUCAGCCGGACACGUAAGCUCUUCACGAACCACAUCUGUUCCGUUAUUAAACAAAAAUCCCCAAGUCCCCUCCUACGCUUCUUCUCCUGUCUCCAUCUUCCAUAUUUGCAGAGCUCGAGAUUCUUUCACAGUCUCAGUGGUUCGUUUAGGGUUUUGUUGAAUUUUACAGAGAAAUUGGGAAGCCAAAUCGAGAGAAUGCUUGCAAAGAUAUCAUCUAGAGGGAAGAGAUUUGUUUAUCGGAGUCUUGUGGUGAGAGGUAAUGCUGCAACUUUUCCUCCCUCUUUUUCUCUUUGCCAGAGAAGAGCUUUUGAUGGUAAGAGUAGUUAUGAUUACAGAGAGAUACUCAGAAAUGGGCUGGGUGAUAUUAGGUUAGACGAUGCUGUUGAUUUGUUCAGUGAAAUGGUAAAGUCUCGUCCUUUACCUUCCAUUGUUGAUUUCAGUAAAUUGUUGAGUGCAAUUGCUAAGAUGAAGAAGUUUGAUGUUGUCAUCUCUCUUGGCGAGCGGAUGCAAAAUCUGGGGAUUUCAUAUGAUCUCUACUCAUACAAUAUUUUGAUCAACUGUUUCUGUCGACGCUCUCAAAUCUCUCUUGCUUUAGCUGUUCUUGGGAAGAUGAUGAAACUCGGCUAUGAGCCCAGCAUUGUUACGCUUUCUUCGCUGCUCAAUGGGUACUGCCACGGUAAGAGGAUUUCCGAGGCUGUAGCUUUGGUUGAUCAAAUGGUCGAAAUGGGAUAUCAACCUAAUACCGUUACAUUUACAACUUUGAUUCAUGGGCUUUUUCUCCACAACAAAGCUUCCGAAGCUGUGGCUUUAGUUGAACGGAUGGCUCUGAAAGGAUGUCAACCAGAUUUGGUUACUUAUGGUGUGGUAGUAAACGGAAUAUGCAAGAGAGGUGAUACUGAUUUGGCUUUAAAUCUGCUCAACAAGAUGGAAUUAUGGAAAGUAGAGCCAGAUGUUGUAAUCUACAACACAGUCAUUGAUGGUCUUUGCAAAUACAAACAUAUGGAUGAUGCGCUCCACCUAUUCAACAAAAUGGAAAACAAAGGAAUUAGACCUAAUGUUGUUACCUACAGCUCCCUCAUUAGUUGCCUUUGUAAUUACGGAAGAUGGAGUGAUGCCUCUCGACUACUGAGUGAUAUGAUUGAGAGGAAAAUCAACCCCGAUGUAGUCACCUUCAGCGCAUUGAUCGAUGCGUUUGUGAAGGAGGGAAAGCUUUUAGAGGCUGAGAAAUUGUACAAGGAGAUGAUCAAAAGGUCUAUAGAUCCUGAUAUUUUCACCUACAAUUCUUUGAUCAAUGGGUUUUGUAUGCGUCAUCGCCUAGACGAGGCCAAGCAGAUGUUUGAGUUUAUGGUUACCAAGGGCUGUUUCCCAAAUGUAGUGACUUAUAAUACGCUCAUAAAGGGAUUUUGUAAGGCUAAGAAGGUAGAAGAUGGUAUGGAACUCUUCCGCGAGAUGUCUCAAAGAGGAUUGGUUGGCGACACAGUCACUUACAACACUCUUAUCCAAGAGUUAUUUCAAGCUGGAGAUUGUGAUAUGGCUCAAGAAACUUUUAGUCAUAUGAAUUCUUUUGGUGUCUCUCCUGAUCUUUGGACUUAUAAUAUUUUGUUAGAUGGGCUUUGUAAUAACGGGAGGCUAGAGAAAGCAUUGGUGGUAUUCGAGUGUUUGCAGAAGAGUGAAAUGGAACUUGACAUAUUCACAUAUAAUAUUAUGAUUGAAGGGAUGUGUAAGGAUGGGAAGGUGGAAGAUGGUUGGGGUCUAUUUUGUAGCCUCACCCUUAAAGGAGUGAAGCCUGAUGUUAUAACCUACAACACAAUGAUCUCAGGCUUGUGUAGGAAAGGUUUAAACCAGGAAGCUUAUGCCUUGCUCAAAAAAAUGAAACAAGAUGGGCCUCCUCCAGAUAGCGGUACAUAUAAUACACUGAUCAGGGCAUGCCUUAGAGAUGGUGACAAAGCGGCAUCGGCAGAACUCAUCAAAGAAAUGAGGAGUUGCGGGUUUGCUGGAGAUGCUUCAGCGAUUGGCUUGGUCGCUAAUAUGUUGCAUGAUGGGAGAUUGGACAAAAGUUUUUUGGAAAUGCUUUCUUAAACAGUUUAUCCUUGAGAGAGUUGUUGAGGAACCAUGUGCCCUCGCGAGUUGAAUUAACUUAUUAUGUUGCUUUUCUGUUGAUUACUUCUGAACGCAUUUUCUCAUGUGUACAUAUUGGUUAGUCGUGUAUAAGCUUCAUGAAUAUGACUGAUACUGAUCUUUGUUAUUUCCCGAUUAGGUUGCAAACAAGAGUUGAUAUUUCGAAUGAUGUCUCGGGCUCGAGGGAGACUUUGGUUUUGUUUCUCAUCUUCCUUCUUCUUCCCAAAGCUCCCUCCCCUCACAUGUGGCAUUGUAAUGUCAAAUGGAGCUUAUUUGUGGGAAAAAUGAAAUUUGCCGACGCUCAUGAUCUGUUUACUUACAAUAUUUUCAUUAACUGUUUUUGCCGACGCUCUCAACUCUCUCUUGCUUUAGCUCUUCUUGGCAAGAUGAUUAAACUCGGUUAUGAGCCCGAUGUUGUCACGCUUUCUUCUCUUCUCAAUGGGUACUGUCAUGGUAAGAGGAUAUCCGAGGCUGUAUCUUUGGUUGAUCAAAUGGUCGAAAUGGGGUAUCAACCUAAUACAUUUACAUUUAACACUCUAAUCCAUGGACUUUUUCUCUAAUCUCAUCGGCCCCCUGUGGUGGAAUCAAUUUCUACUUAGCCCCUGUUCUAAAAUAAAAUUAUACAAGUGUUUAUUUUAAUUUGAAAUAUUAGUAAAAGACAAUUAUAUUGAGGGUUUUCGACUUAUUUACUGACCCAAUAUAUGUUUGGGUCAAAUAUCCAAUAGUAUUGGGCUUAAUUUCAGAUCUUUCUCUUAUUUCUCAAACAAACCCUAAUUCCCAAAAACGACAAUCCUCCCUCCCACUCUCGACAGUCCGUCGUUUUCUUUUCCUCUCUACCGGUGACUGAGAUUUUCCGAUUUCAUACUCCACUCCUUCAUCUUCUUCUUCCAAAAUUUCGUUUUCUUCUUCUGGAUCCUCUUCUUCUUCUCCUGUAUAUCUUGUUUCAGUCGAUACCAUCUUCUUCCUCUUUCCUCUUCACUCGUUUCUCCGUGAAUCUGAGAUAGCCACCGUGAAUCCGAGAAAUCCACCGUGAAUCCGUGGUGAGAAAUCUCUUUGUCUUCUCUUUGUAAAAAUUAUUUUGUUUGAUCCAUAUAUUUCGAUUGAUCCGAGAUAUGGUUUGAUUUUUUUCUUUGAGCGAUUGAUUGUGUUGUGUUGGGUAUAAUAAUGGUUUGAUUUUGUUUGAAACAGAUGGAUUAUGAAUGGGUUUUCGAUUGAAUUUGGUUUUUUUUUUCUUUUUCUUUGAGGGUUUAAUAAGGAUCCUUCGAUUGAUUGUGUUGUGUUGGGUUUAAUUGGAUUCCGGUUUAAUUAAAGUUUGAAACAGAUGGAUUAAGGUUUCUUUUGUUUGAGUGUGUUGGGUUUUGAUGAUUUAUGGAUGGAUUGUGUUGGGGUUUGAAGAUUUUGAUUUGUGGAUUGAUUUUCAGAUUUCAAUUUGUCUUGUUUUCGGAUUUGAAUUUGUCCAAAUGUUCGAUCUUGAAUUUCUCUAUAUAUUUCGGAUUUGAAUUUUUCAUUUAGAUAGAUACAAAUAGUGUGUUUCGGAUUUUUUGAAAUUUGUUGAAAAAUCCAAACUUUAUCUCUUGAGAUUAUGUGAGUUUGUGUUUGUGUAAGUAGAUAGAUAUUGAAUUUGUAUUUGUUGUUGCAGGUUGGUUUACAAAGGCUAUUACCAUAGGAGGAGCUUCUAGUUCUAGAAGUGAACCAUCUUGUUCUAGAAGUGAACAAUCUGCCGAGCUUAGAAAUCCCAAAAGACAAAGGCAAUCGGAUCCAAAGCAUUCAGAGACAGCAGGUGCAGAGGAUGAUGUCAUGGAAGAUCAAUGAGUCUAACCGUCUUUGGAGAAUGUUUAGGUACAACUGGUACGAUUAGGUAUAACCAUGUUUCUGGGAUUAUGUUUUUUGAUUAUGUAUGAAUCUUAUUAUGGUCUCUGAUGUUGAUGUAUAAAUCUAAGUCUUACUUUAUGAAAAAAGAAGAAGGAGAAAGAGCCUUAUUCUGGUCUCUCAUCUAUACUAGUAUAAUCGCAGCACUUUUUGUGACGGGUGGGUAAAAAAGCUUUCGGGUAUAUCGGAUAUCCGACCCAUUUUAAAAAUUCCUUCACAAAAAAUUUGUUGGGUCGGGUUAUAUUUAACCCAACUCAUACACCGGAUAUUCCAUAUUUAAUAAUUUAGAUUUUUAGAAGAUUUGAUUAAGAUUUAUAAUUAUGAUUCUCCUAUCAUCUUUGUUUGAUUUGUUUUUAACUGUUUUGAAUCAUCAUAUAAUACAUAAAGUAAAAAAAAUAAAUAUGUUAUAAGGAGAUACAAUUUACAAAAUAUUUUUAUACUAACUUUAAAAUUAAAUCAUCCCGUGGUGUACCGCGGAUUAAAAUCUAGUAUUGAUGUAUAAAUAUAAGUGUUUAGGUACAACUGGUACGAUUAGAUACAACUAUAUUUCUGGAUUUAUGUUUUUUUAUUAUGUAUGAAUCUUUUAAUCUGAAUAUUAAUAUUUUUAUAUAUGAAUCUAUGUAUUGAAUAUAAUCUAAGGAUUUUGAACCAAAAUAAAAAUAAAAAAAAUUCUAAAUUAAUCAAAAAAUUUGACAAAUAUGUAGGUUUGUAAGGGUUUUGGAAAAAAAAAAAAAAAAAAAGUGAAUCUAGUUGAUAUUUUGGCAUACCUGACGCCGUUAUUUUGAAAAAAAGCUGACAAAUGGUAUACCUGUCGCCGUUAUUUUGAAAACAAUUAUUAAAUAAUAGCUCAAAUUUGUUCAUAGUUGUACAGUUGUAUUCGGUUGCACAUUUUUGCUCAUAGUUGUACAAUAUAGAGAUUUUAGUAAAUCUAGUUGUUAUCAACUCUAAUUUAAUUUUUGUUGGUGGAACCGAUGGUAUUGCCUCAUAAAAAUACCAUUACUUUGUAUCUGUGCAUUUAUAUUUAUCAAAAUACAAGUAUUUCAGAAAUUUAUAAAAUUUUAGUUCAAAUCUACAAAGUAACCAUGAAAGUAUAAGGUUGUUAGUGUAUGAAUGUGGGAUUUUGAGUAAGAAUUUCAGUAUUUUUUUUAAAUAUGAAAUUUUUUGUCAAAAACUUGUUGUGUAGUUUCAUUACCAUCGUGUAUGCAUUUUUUAAGUUUUUUUAAUUUGGUUUUAAAUUUUCAUAUUAUAUAAAAUUCUGAAAAUUGGCUAAGGCAUUAGACCUUAGUUGUACUUGUGGUACUUAUUUGUACCCAGACUGACAAAAUUUGCACAGAUACGAGAAGAAAAUCAACCAUAAUUGUACCUGUUAAAACUUAGUUGUACAACACAGAACAUAUAAGUUUCACAAACAAAACCAAUACAAACAACAUCGUUUCUUAAAUUAACCUAAUAAAUAGCACUGAGAAAUCAACCUUGGUCCCCCGCAUCGUCUCCAUCAUCGUCUCCAUCAACGCCCAAACCGCUCGAUCCAUGCGACCUCUUCUUACGUCCUCUUCCUCUAUGUUCUCCAACGGAGGGGAAUCUUGUUUCUUGUCUUCUUCCUUGUUUUUACCUCAUAAUCCGGAGGAUAUGCAAACAGUUGCAUUAUCUCCUCAGGAAGAACCCAUUGACUAUUAUGGGAACCGGAUAAAUUGUCCUCGUAUACGCCAAAACCCAAAGCUCGAUCCAAUAAUACUUUGAGCACAAAUCAUGUGCCCAAAGAUCGGGAGUAUGACUGAAUUCCUUUUCAUUGUCCCUAAAAAAACAGAGAGAAAAAAGGGCCUAUAAUUUUAUAAUUUUCGUAGCAGACCAUCAACAUUGUUGUACACAUUUGUCCCAGUUGCACCAAACUUAGAGUUUUCGAAAAUAUUCUACUUAGUUGUACCCAGUGGUUUCAGUUGUCCCAAAUCUGCAAUCCUAAAAUAUUUCAAUAAAUAACCCUAUUCGAGCUACGAAUUCAACUUAAUCAUACUACACUAAGAAAACAAGUAUACUUACCUUACAGUAUGGUGGGAAUAGAAGAAGAAGAAGAGAAGAGAUAUGUCUUUGGAGAUGCAAGCUUUAAUGGUGAGCUUUCAAUGGUAGAUGGAGAAGAAGAAGAAGAAGAAGAACGCCGGAGCUGCAACGUCGGAGCUGCUGAAGAAUGUCGGAGCUGCAAUAUCGGAGCUGUUGAAGAAGAAGAAGAAGAAGGUCUCGUAGGUUUAUUGUCGUAAAAGGUGAGACAUUUAGUAGGUUUGUUUUUUUAAUGAGAGAAGAGAGAGAAAGUUUUUGAUUGGUUGAAUAAAAAAUGUGUUGGCAUUAAAUUAAAUGUAGAAUUAAAGGGAUAAGGGGUAGAGUUGGUUUAUGAAAAAAUUGGGAAGGAGAGGGGGUAGUGAGAAUAAAGAGGGGUUUUCCAAAAAUUGAAUCUUCCCAAAGGGGCUAGAGAGAUUAAAAUCCAUGGACUUUUUCUUCACAAUAAAGUUUCAGAUGCAGUGGCCUUAGUUGACCGAAUGGUUGUCAAUGGCUGUCAACCAGAUAUGUUUACUUAUGGUGUGGUAGUAAAUGGAUUAUGUAAGAGAGGUGAUAUCGAUUUGGCUGUAAGUGUUCUCAAAAAGAUGGAAGAAAGAAAAAUAGAGGCUGAUCUUGUCAUCUACAACACAAUCAUUGAUGGUCUUUGCAAAUACAAACAUAUGGAUGAUGCUCUCAACCUAUUCAAUGAAUUGAAGAACAAAGGAAUUAGACCUGAUGUUGUUACCUACAACUCCCUUAUAAGUUCCCUCUGUAGUUAUGGAAGAUGGAGUGAUGCCUCUCGACUCCUGAGUGAUAUGAUUGAGAAGAAAAUCAACCCUAAUGCAGUCACUUUCAGCGCAUUGAUCGAUGCGUUUGCGAAGGAGGGGAAGCUUUUAGAGGCUGAGAAAUUGUUC
rnacentral:lncRNA from 1 species